rnacentral:rRNA from 1 species
AUUGAACGCUGGCGGCAGGCCUAACACAUGCAAGUCGAGCGAGCGGCGGACGGGUGAGUAAUGUAUGGGGUUCUGCCCGAUAGAGGGCGAUAACUACUGGAAACGGUUGCUAAUUCCGCCUACUAUCUGAUCAACCCAUAUGGGAGUAGCUAGUAGGUGGGGUAUAGGCGCACCUCGGCGGCGAUCUUUAGCUGGUCUGAGAGGAUGAUGAGCCACACGAGGGAUGAGACACGGCGCAGACUCCUCGGGGAGGCAGCAGGGGAGAAUAUUGCACAAUGAGCGCAAACCUGAUGCAGCCAUGCCGCGUGUAUAAAGAAGGCCUUAGGGGUGUAGAGUACUUUCAGCGGGGAGGCGUUACCCGAAGAAGAAGCACCGGCUAACUCCGUGCCAGCAGCCGCGGUAAUAC